rnacentral:rRNA from 1 species
UACGUAGGGUGCUAGCGUUGUUCGGAAUCAUUGGGCGUAAAGCGCGUGUAGGUGGUUAAUAAAGUUGGGUGUGAAAUCCCUCGGCUCAACCGAGGAAGUGCACUCAAAACUAAUUAGCUUGAGAGUGGUAGAGGAAGGUGGAAUUCCUAGUGUAGAGGUGAAAUUCGUAGAUAUUAGGAGGAAUACCGGAGGCGAAGGCGGCCUCUGGACCAUUUCUGACACUGAGACGCGAAAGCGUGGGUAGCAAACAGG